rnacentral:rRNA from 1 species
CUUCCACAAUGGACGCAAGUCUGAUGGAGCAACGCCGCGGGAGUGAAGAAGGUUUUCGGAUCUUAAAUCUCUGUUGUUGGUGAAGAAGGAUAGAGGUAGUAACUGGCCUUUAUUUGACGGUAAUCAACCCUAAAGUCACGGCUAACUACUUUCCAGCAGCCGCGGUAAUACGUAGGUGGCAAGCGUUGUCCGGAUUUAUUGGGCGUAAAGCGAGCGCAGGCGGAAGAAUAAGUCUGAUGUGAAAGCCCUCGGCUUAACCGAGGAAUUGCAUCGGAAACUGUUUUUCUUGAGUGCAGAAGAGGAGAGUGGAACUCCAUGUGUAGCGGUGGAAUGCGUAGAUAUAUGGAAGAACACCAGUGGCGAAGGCGGCUCUCUGGUCUGCAACUGACGCUGAGGCUCGAAAGCAUGGGUAGCGAACAG